rnacentral:rRNA from 1 species
UACGUAGGGCGCAAGCGUUGUCCGGAAUUAUUGGGCGUAAAGAGCUCGUAGGCGGCUUGUGACGUCGGGGGUGAAAGACCGGGGCUUAACCCCGGUUCUGCAUUCGAUACGGGCUGGCUAGAGUGUGGUAGGGGAGAUCGGAAUUCCUGGUGUAGCGGUGAAAUGCGCAGAUAUCAGGAGGAACACCGGUGGCGAAGGCGGAUCUCUGGGCCAUUACUGACGCUGAGGAGCGAAAGCGUGGGGAGCGAACAGG